CUAGCGUUGUUCGGAAUUACUGGGCGUAAAGCGCGCGUAGGCGGACCUGCAAGUCGGGGGUGAAAGCCCGAGGCUCAACCUCGGAACUGCCUUCGAUACUGCGGGUCUCGAGUCCGGGAGAGGUGAGUGGAAUUCCUAGUGUAGAGGUGAAAUUCGUAGAUAUUCGCAAGAACACCAGUGGCGAAGGCGGCUCACUGGCCCGAUACUGACGCUGAGGCACGAAAGCGUGGGGAGCAAACAGG
rnacentral:rRNA from 1 species